rnacentral:rRNA from 1 species
AUUGAACGCUGGCGGCAGGCUUAACAUAUGCAAGUCGAGCGGAGAUGAGGUGCUUGCACCUUAUCUUAGCGGCGGACGGGUGAGUAAUGCUUAGGAAUCUGCCUAUUAGUGGGGGACAACAUUCCGAAAGGAAUGCUAAUACCGCAUACGUCCUACGGGAGAAAGCAGGGGAUCUUCGGACCUUGCGCUAAUAGAUGAGCCUAAGUCGGAUUAGCUAGUUGGUGGGGUAAAGGCCUACCAAGGCGACGAUCUGUAGCGGGUCUGAGAGGAUGAUCCGCCACACUGGGACUGAGACACGGCCCAGACUCCUACGGGAGGCAGCAGUGGGGAAUAUUGGACAAUGGGGGGAACCCUGAUCUAGCCAUGCCGCGUGUGUGAAGAAGGCCUUAUGGUUGUAAAGCACUUUAAGCGAGGAGGAGGCUACUGAGACUAAUACUCUUGGAUAGUGGACGUUACUCGCAGAAUAAGCACCGGCUAACUCUGUGCCAGCCGCCGCGGUAA